AAACCUUGUCAUCAUAAUUCAUUAUAGAAGCUAAUAACAGUUGUUGGUACUGUACUUUCUUUUUCUUCAAAUUUUUUCUUAUCCAUAUGAAUUUUCUUGUAGUUAUAGAGUACAUAUUUUUGUUAUAACUCAUAUAGUAAAAAAUAGUGACAAUGAAAGGGGUCUGUUAUCUGGGAAUACUGGCAUUACUGAAAGCUUACAGGUUAAAUAUAUUCUAACUAGACAGAGAGAGGGAGAGAGGUUCGUACAUAGCCGGACAUGCGAGGCCAUUUGCCAUGGUCGAAUGCUUGUCUCGCGGCCUCAACGGCCAAAUCCACGUCUGCCUUGUCACCUUCUGCGAUAUGAGCAAUUACCUCCCCGGUGCGCGGAUCUCUCGUCUCAAAUGUCUUCCCUGUAUUUACCAAACAUUUUGAUCAUUAGAGGCGAAAUCAAUCAACGUCACAGACAACCAUGUUUUCAAGUGAUCACAAUUAAUUUGUUUCCGGACAGUAUUUUUAGCCAGUAAAAUUCCGGGCACGGGCAGAACUAAACUGCAGUUCAGUUGUUCCAAAUGAUUUCUUCGACGCCUUUUUCUAAUGUUUUUUCUUUAAUAUAUAGUUUUCUGAUGAAGCCUUCUAUUGAUAUUUUAUCAAUUUCCACUUUGUACGUCGCCUCUCUAAUGGAAACCACCAAGCAUACCGGUUUUAGCUCUCUGGUCAACAUCUUAGUCGGUUUUUUCGGACUCUAGCUUCAAUUAUUUCGUACUAUAGCCUCUGCGUUAGUAAAUUAUUGGUUGGAUCAUAUUUGCUAUCUCAGCAAUGGACCACACAGGAACCAACAUGCACAAAAAACAGACAAAAAAGAAACGGGUGAGAAAAAAAAAAAGGGAGCAAUAGGGACGUGUUUGGACUAGUCCACUGGCCCCAAGCGGUAGACUGGCUCAAAAAAUUUCACCUCCACGCUUUGGUUGCAUGACCUCCUUCCUACUUACUUGGAUUUUGACUAGUUAUUAAUUUCGUUCACAUACUGAUCAUAAUUUCUAAAACAAAUUGGUAAACAUAUAUAGCUUGCACGUUCCAUGUAUAGAUCUGCAAAAAGUUUAUAUUGGUCAAAAUAAAAUCCUCGGGCAGACAAGAUUUCUACAUACGCAGCACAACACAUAAAAGAAGAGACGGUCUGAUGGAUGGCCAAGCCAUUUAAUCCCUAAAGAAUAGCCGAUUCAAAGGGCAUGUUUGAAAGCCCGAAGAUUUACCGGCCUUUUUUUCGUUUGAUUUUUAUAAAAGAAGUCGAGCAAAUCUUAUUAGAUUGUGUGCACACGAAAGCACACCUGCCACGUGGCGUCUGUUGGAAUUAUGGCCGGAAUUAAUACCAAUUAUAUAUGAGAGGUGGUUGAUUAACGAGUUCAUGCAGCUGCUGCUUUCUGUACAUAUAAUCAGUGUCCCAUGGCCAGACAGGCAGCCCAUGAACACAAAUAUUUCCGCAUUUGAGCGAUAGAUCAUGAAACACCAAAGAAAAAAAGAAAAAAAUAAUUAAUUAUCAAGGAUUAGAUUAGAUGUGUUCACACUGUAACCUUUUUUUUUUUCCUUUUCUUUCGAUAUUGCUCUUUCCACAUAAUUUUGUAAUAAAAAUUCUGGCUGACAAGAUUCUGCCGUGGAUAAUUGGAUGAACAGUAAAACGGGAGAAAUCCUUGUCUAUGCUGUGCCAUUUGCCACUCGUGUACGAACAGAGAAAAAAAGGAACUAAGUUGUUAGAAAUAUGAAAUUUUUAUCUGUCUUUGUGUGUCUUGGUUUGUAGUUGGAUUAUUCUAAUGCUAAGCUGAUGGAUUUGAUGACUGAUCUACCGCUGAGCUGGUGUACUUAAUCCAACCAAUAAUUUCUCGCAACAAACAAAAGGUCCUCCGGAUAAAUGGCGCCACGUGUUAAGACUUACGAUCAACUUGUCUCGCUUGCUGUCCGACUAGAAUCUGGUGGACAAAUUCAGAUCCUGCGCGCUAUGACUUUGAUAUUUUUAAACACCACCACCUUUUCCGCUUUCCUUUAAAAAAAAAAAAAGAAUUGGGUGGUGGGUUGGGGAAAACAAGGACGCCACCACCUUUGCCAUUGGACGACGGCCUGCAGACGAUGAGCCCGAGGUCGAGGUCUUGGACGAGACCAAACACCGAGCCGUGCCCAUACAUCAUCAGAUGUUGACCCUGUCGGACUAGACUAGUGCGUGGCCUUUUUCUAAUCGGGCGUGAACAAUAACAAUAAUACAGCCUUCUUGCAGUUAUUUUCUCGGUAGAAAACAGAAAGAAAACGACAGGGAUGAGCAUGAGCUCCAUAUCCAUAGCCUUCUAUGGAUGUCCCAAACUUUGCACCAGUUAACAAAAUAGUGAAAAAUGUUGUGCAUCCUACAAUUAUAAGACAGUACUCGGACGAGAUCCUAAUGGGGACACGGGAUCGGAGCACGCUGGAUUAAUGGUCCUGAUCGAAAGAAAUGACCUUACGUGUGAUAUUACACGGAACAUGACACUGCAUCUCCUUCCCAGUCCAGCAGGCAAGCAGUGCUAAGAAUUAAUGGCAGCUCGAGAAAGGAACAACCCCAAAACAGAGGGAGACAAAGGGCUGAUCUUUUUCACGCACCCACAACUACCGUAGAUAGAAGAAUAACGUAGAGAUACAUACAAACACAUGGAUGCGACACAGACCCGGGAAAAAUUAAAUAGAAACAGAGGAAAGAGAAAAGAGGUAAGGAUGGGAAGAAUACCGGAGACGGCGUCGACGAAUUGGCCGUUGAUGAAGAGCUUGGUGAACUUUAUCUUGAUCUCUGGCACCUCGAAAUCAUCGCCGUUGCACUGGCUACCCAUGCUUGAUGAUAACUCCCACACACACACAGAGAGAGAGAGAGAGAUGUUGAGGGUAGGAAGAGGGAAGGCCCUGCUUUUUAUUCCUUGAAUGCCCCUUCCCCACUCUAAUGGGUGGUUGGGAAUUG
rnacentral:lncRNA from 1 species